UACGGAGGGUGCAAGCGUUAUCCGGAUUCACUGGGUUUAAAGGGAGCGCAGGCGGAUUUGUAAGUCAGUGGUGAAAGGCUUAAGCUUAACUUGGGAACUGCCAUUGAUACUAUAAGUCUUGAAUGUUGUUGAGGUUUGCGGAAUGGGUCAUGUAGCGGUGAAAUGCAUAGAUAUGACCCGGAACACCUAUUGCGAAGGCAGCAGGCUAAACAAAUAUUGACGCUCAGGCGCGACAGCGUGGGGAUCAAACAGG
rnacentral:rRNA from 1 species